GCCUGGGUGGCUCAGUCGGUUGAGCGUCCGACUUCGGCUCAGGUCAUGAUCUCACACUCCGUGAGUUCGAGCCCCACGUCGGGCU
rnacentral:tRNA from 1 species